rnacentral:rRNA from 1 species
UAAAUAAUUAGAGUUUGAUCCUGGCUCAGGAUGAACGCUAGCAAUAUACUUAACACAUGCUAGUUGAAUGUUGAUAAGACAUAGCGUACGGGUGCGUAUAACAUAAGAAUCUGCCUUUUGGUUUGGAAUAAUUUAUAAUAUAUUUUUAUUAUAAAAAUACUGAAUAUAAUAAAGACAUAAUGUUGCCUUAAGAUGAGCUUAUGUAGGAUUAGGUUGUUGGUGAGGUAAAGGCUUACCAAGCCGACGAUCCUUAGUUGAUCUGAGAGGAUGAUCAGCCACACUGGGACUGAGAUAAGGCCCAGGCUUAGUUGCCAGCAGUGAGGAAUAUUGGACAAUGGGCGAAAGCUUGAUCCAGUAAUAUUGCGUGAAUGAGGAAAGCAAAAAAGGUUUAGGCGAAAGUUUAAAUCGGUUGUAAAGUUCUUUCGUUAGUGAGGAUAGUGACUGUAACUAGAGAAGAAAUCCCGGCUAACUUCGUGCCAGCAGCCGCGGUAAUACGAAGGGGGUGAGCGUUAUCCGAAAUGAUUGGGCGUAAAGGGUUCGUAGACAGUAAUUGUUGUUGUGUGUGAAAUUUUAAUCUUGUUAAAAAUGCAUCCGAUACUCUUUUACUUGAGUGUAUUAGAAGAUAACAGAAUUUUAAAAGUAAGAGUGAAAUCUUUAGAUAUUUAAAGGAAUGUCAGGGGCGAAGGCGGUUAUCUAUAAUAUGAACUGACGUUGAGGAACGAAAGCAUGGGGAGCAAACAGGAUUAGAUACCCUGGUAGUCCAUGCUGUCAAUUAUGAAUGCUAACAUUGGGAUUUAGUUUCUGGUGUUAAGUUAACACGUUAAGCAUUCCGCCUGGGGAGUACGAUCGCAAGAUUGGAACUCAAAGGAAUUGACGGGAGUCUAUACAAGUGGUGGAGCAUGUGGUUUAAUGCGAUAAUACGCGCGAAAUCUUACCAGUUCUUGCAUAUGAAUUUUAAACAUGUUAAUAAUAUGUUUUUUUUUUAAUUUAUAAUUAAAUUUAUAAUAAAAUUAUACAGGUGCUGCAUGGCUGUCGUCAGCUCGUGCUGUGAAGUGUUUGGUUAAGUCCUUUAACGAGCGUAACUCUUGUUUUAUGUUGGUAUUUUUAUUUUUAUUUUUUAAAAAUAAACCACUCUUAAAAUACUGCCGACAAUAAGUUGGAGGAAGGGGAGAAUGACGUCAAGCCCUUAUGGCCCUUAUGAACUGGGCUACACAUGUGCUACAAUGGUAAUAAUAAAGAGCUAUACAAAAAAGCGAUUUUGAGUCAAUCUUUAAAUAUUGCCGUGUUCCGAUUGAAGACUGUAAUUCGUCUUCAUAAAGGCGGAAUCACAAGUAAUCGUAAAUCAGCAUGUUAUGGUGAAUAUGUACCUAGACUUUGCACACACCGCCCGUCACAUGCUAGGAAUGAAUUUUGUUUGAAAUGUAAAUAGCUUUUAAAAUUUAGACUUUGUUUAAGAGCUUUUCUUUUUUUUUAGGGGUUUCAUUUAUAUUAUUAUAGAGUUUAUAACUGGGAUGAAGUCGUAACAAGGUAGUCGUAUGGGAACAUGUGGCUGGAACA